CAGCCGCCACGGUAAUACGAAGGGUGCAAGCGUUAAUCGGAAUUACUGGGCGUAAAGCGUGCGUAGGCGGUGAGUUAAGUCUGCUGUGAAAUCCCCGGGCUCAACCUGGGAAUGGCAGUGGAUACUGGCUCGCUAGAGUGUGUCAGAGGAUGGUGGAAUUCCCGGUGUAGCGGUGAAAUGCGUAGAGAUCGGGAGGAACAUCAGUGGCGAAGGCGGCCAUCUGGGACAACACUGACGCUGAGGCACGAAAGCGUGGGGAGCAAACAGGAUUAGAUACCCGAGUAGUCCCUGUCUCUUAUAA
rnacentral:rRNA from 1 species